GCCUCCUUAGCUCAGUGGCAGAGCGCUGGUCUUGUAAACCAGAGGCCGCUAGUUCGAUCCUGGCAGGAGGCA